AAAGACUUAGUCCUAACCUUACUGUUAGUUGUUGCUAGGUUUAUACAUGCAAGUAUCCGCGCACAGUGCGUAUGCCCUGGACACCUUGAACCCCAAGUAGAUAGGAGCUGGCAUCAGGCUCACCACUAUCGUAGCCCAAGACGCCUAGCAAUUGCCACGUCCCCACGGAUUAUCAGCAGUAGUUAAUAUUAAGCAAUGAGUGUAAACUUGACUUAGCCAUAGCAAACUUCAGGGUCGGUAAAUCCUGUGCCAGCCACCGCGGUCAUACAGGAGACCCAAAUUAACGUUAUAACGGCGUAAAGAGUGGUCACAUGUUAUCCAAGUAGCUAAGACUAAAAAGCAGCUGAGCUGUCAUAAGCCAAAGAUGCUCAUAAGGCCUCUGCCAUCAAAGAAGAUCUUAGAACAACGAUUAAUUGAACUCCACGAAAGCCAGGGCCCAAACUGGGAUUAGAUACCCCACUAUGCCUGGCCCUAAAUCUUGAUGCUCACCUUACCUGAGUAUCCGCCCGAGAACUACGAGCACAAACGCUUAAAACUCUAAGGACUUGGCGGUGUUCCAAACCCACCUAGAGGAGCCUGUUCUGUAAUCGAUGAUCCACGAUAUUACCUGACCAUUUCUUGCCAAAAACAGCCUAUAUACCGCCGUCGCCAGCUCACCUUCCCUGACAGCCCAACAGUGAGCGCAAUAGCCCAACCCCGCUAGUAAGACAGGUCAAGGUAUAGCCUAUGGAAUGGAAGCAAUGGGCUACAUUUUCUAAGUUAGAACAUAACGGCAAAGGGAUAUGAAACUGUCCCUGGAAGGAGGAUUUAGCAGUAAAGUGGGACAAUCGAGCCCUCUUUAAACCGGCUCUGGAGCACGUACAUACCGCCCGUCACCCUCCUCGCAAGCGACCAACACACCCUAUAACUAAUAAGCCAUCCAGCUAAAGAUGAGGUAAGUCGUAACAAGGUAAGUGUACCGGAAGGUGCACUUAGACUAC
rnacentral:ncRNA from 1 species